rnacentral:rRNA from 1 species
GACGAACGCUGGCGGCGUGCUUAACACAUGCAAGUCGAACGGAAAGGCCUGCUUUCCCUUGUGGAUUGCGGGUACUCGAGUGGCGAACGGGUGAGUAACACGUGAGUGAUCUGCCCCCAACUUGGGUAUAAGCCUGGGAAACUGGGUCUAAUUCCCGAUAGGACUGCAGGGUGGUGCCUGUGGUGGAAAACGAUUUUCUAGUGGUUGGGGAUGAGCUCGCGGCCUAUCAGCUUGUUGGUGGGGUAAUGGCCUACCAAGGCGGCGACGGGUAGCCGGCCUGAGAUGGUGGACGGCCACAUUGGGACUGAGAUACGGCCCAGACUCCUACGGGAGGUAGCAGUGGGGAAUAAUGCACAAUGGGCGGAAGCCUGAUGCAGCGACGCCGCGUGGGGGAUGACGGCCUUCGGGUUGUAAACUCCUUUCGACCGCGAGGAAGCCACCUGGUUGGAAGGGUGGUGGCGGUAGUGGUAGAAGAAGCACCGGCUAACUACGUG